GUGCUUUGUUUAUUGUUACUACCAGGAAACUUCAUGUAUCGCAAGUAGUGAUGGGCUUUUAAGAUUCUGGAUUGCGGUUUGAGAUGUUAGCACAAAUAAAAUAAAGAAUUAUGAGAGAGGUUAUGCUCUGGGAACGCAUAGGCAUGUUCUUUUACGAGUACCCUUUUCUGGUCGAGCAAUAUUUCGUUUUCCAAGUUGUUACUUGGAAAAGGAGAGAAAUUUUGACUUACUCUGAAGAAGAAAAAAAAGUAGAAGCUAUUGUUAGGACUAAGAUUGAUGUCAGAACACAAUGUUUGGCAACUAUCUAUGUUCACAGAGCAGCCAAUUUCAUUAAAUAGAGAGAAAACUACAAUCUACAGUAAACGAGGGCAGAAAUGAGGAGGAGGAACACAUCAACUCAACUCUCAUUUUAUAUAGUUGCCUCACAUUUCUUUCUAUCUCUCUGCCUUGCUUGCUGCUUCAAGCUACUUCUGCCGGCUCUAUCUUGCUCUUACUGAUGGCCAGUAUCUGUAGCUGAAAAUGGGGGAGCACACAUUUCAUUUUCAACCAUGAUUUCUCCCAACAAACUAUCAGAAAAUCUUCCCCUAAUUUUCAGUCAUGAAAUCCCCCAGCCUAAUUAGUAGCACUGAAUUCUUCCCUUCCUUUCCAACUUGAUGUGUCUUUAUUGUCUCCAAACUCAACAGAAAUCUCAACAGGAACGUAACAUCCGUUAAAAGGGUAGUGAAAGCACUUGAAGUUAUUUACUUGGGAGGAGGAGGGUCCACGGUAGAGGAUUGGUGUUCAUUUGAUCCAGACAUGGUUAGGACUUAGGAGGAGGAGAUUGCAAGAAGAGAUUCGGGAUUUGGCAGUUUUUACAUGUAUUGAAUCCAAGGAUUGACAAUGGUGAUUGUAAUAUAAGAUUUUGGCAGGAAGUUCUUCCAUUAACUUGAUCAGAGAAUCAAGUGUAAUCAGACUAACUUGAUUCUCUGAUAGAAAGUCUUGUGUAGUAUUACUUUGUUUUGCCGUUUUUUGCCAUUGGUGCGGAUGUUUGGUGGGGACUAUUUUGAAAGACUUGAAAGCACGUGUGGACAUGUGCUUCACGUUCAUUGUUACACAACAAAUACGGCAAAAUAAGGAAACAGACUUGAGGAUGUCCAUGCUCCAUACUUCUUUAAAGGAUAGUUUAUAGGUAAAUGGUUACUGCUAAAAAUAUUUGAUAUAAUCAAUGCUGAUACUGUAUGCAUCAGAGGCAAGGAUCCUGCGGAAGAAAUGAUGCAUUUUAUUAUUAUUAUUAUUUUACAGGGGUCCUUGCAGAAAAUAAAGAUUUGGUGAUUUUCUCCAGGUCUUAGCAUGUAUUCGCAUUUCUCUCUCGUAAUAGGUGAAUUAACAUGUUCCAUUGGAUUGUAUCAUAGAACUAUCAGAGAUGGUGAUGGAGAAAGGAUAUGCAAUAUAAUAACGCUGUACAAGAAAUUGAUGGGUUGUAUUCGAUUGGAUUAUCAUUGAAUGCAUGCUUGUAUUCAAGUUCUUGAUUGGUGUUUUCAGUGUCGCUAGUCCUUGUGUUUUAUCGUUAGUAGUCAAUAUCUGUGGCUUCUGGGUUUUUCCGCGGGAAGGGUUGAAGACUUCGGCUUCAGAUAGUACAAAGACUAGCAUACAAUUAAAGGAGAUUGCUCCAAAUUAAGUCUACCAUGCUUCUUUUUUAUGCACGCCUGCUCUUGUGACCUGAAAGUUUAUGUCAUCACAUGGUUAGGAACCACGAGUUGGGAUCUGCUCAGAUGUUUUUAAUAAUAUUUUCGGUUGCAUACGGUUCAAGCAAGUGCAUCUCUCGUAUCAAAGCCUUUUACCACUGAUGUAUUUCCAAUUUGAAUUCGUACUAAUAUCAACAUCAAAAGCGUACACUGACAACCACUAACACCAACAUACAGGUAAGGAGAGAACAAAAAAAAUGGCAACAGAAGCAACCACUUGAAUCACUCAUGCAAACCCAAAAACUAGGAGGGAA